UACGGAAGGUCCGGGCGUUAUCCGGAUUUAUUGGGUUUAAAGGGAGCGCAGGCUGCAGAUUAAGCGUGACGUGAAAUGCCGCGGCUCAACCGUGGAAGUGCGUCGCGAACUGGUUUGCUUGAGUGCGAACGACGUUGGCGGAAUUCGUGGUGUAGCGGUGAAAUGCUUAGAUAUCACGAAGAACUCCGAUUGCGAAGGCAGCCAACGAGGCCGUAACUGACGCUAAAGCUCGAAGGUGCGGGUAU
rnacentral:rRNA from 1 species